rnacentral:rRNA from 1 species
GGCCUGCAGUGGGUACGGGCAGACUAGAGUGCGGUAGGGGAGAUUGGAAUUCCUGGUGUAGCGGUGGAAUGCGCAGAUAUCAGGAGGAACACCGAUGGCGAAGGCAGAUCUCUGGGCCGUAACUGACGCUGAGGAGCGAAAGCAUGGGGAGCGAACAGGAUUAGAUACCCUGGUAGUCCAUGCCGUAAACGUUGGGCGCUAGAUGUAGGGACCUUUCCACGGUUUCUGUGUCGUAGCUAACGCAUUAAGCGCCCCGCCUGGGGAGUACGGCCGCAAGGCUAAAACUCAAAGGAAUUGACGGGGGCCCGCACAAGCGGCGGAGCAUGCGGAUUAAUUCGAUGCAACGCGAAGAACCUUACCAAGGCUUGACAUACACCGGAAACGGCCAGAGAUGGUCGCCCCCUUGUGGUCGGUGUACAGGUGGUGCAUGGUUGUCGUCAGCUCGUGUCGUGAGAUGUUGGGUUAAGUCCCGCAACGAGCGCAACCCUCGUUCUAUGUUGCCAGCGGGUUAUGCCGGGGACUCAUAGGAGACUGCCGGGGUCAACUCGGAGGAAGGUGGGGAUGACGUCAAAUCAUCAUGCCCCUUAUGUCUUGGGCUUCACGCAUGCUACAAUGGCCGGUACAAAGGGCUGCGAUACCGUAAGGUGGAGCGAAUCCCAAAAAGCCGGUCUCAGUUCGGAUUGAGGUCUGCAACUCGACCUCAUGAAGUCGGAGUCGCUAGUAAUCGCAGAUCAGCAACGCUGCGGUGAAUACGUUCCCGGGCCUUGUACACACCGCCCGUCAAGUCAUGAAAGUCGGUAACACCCGAAGCCGGUGGCCUAACCC